AAGAGAAGUAAAGAGAAAGCUGAUUCCUUUUCAUUCCUUUAAUCUCUUGCUCAUUGGGAGGCUCUUCAUAGGUUAGCCACUAAUCAUUUUUAGCACAGUUUUACAAUUGUGGCGGCCAGAAAAAUAUAACUGCAUUAUCCCCAAAUGAAAGCCCUUCUGUCCUGACUUAAUUCUCCCUAUUAAACUGUAGCAUGAAUGUCAAACUCUGUGAGGAUGAUGUAGUAAAGUAACUGAUGAGAAUCCUGCAGAUCACCUUGCUAUAAAAGAGUCAUCCAUGUCCAGUGGCAAGACAAUGGCCUAUAACAUUGUGUUGGUGAACCUAUGGCAUACAUGCCAGAGGGGCUGCUCCCUUCCUCUUCUCCUCUAUGCCUGAGGACAUUUCUCACAUCACCCACUCCUCUGCCAGCAGAGAGGGAGUGUUUCCUCUCUCUCCUGUCUCAGAUUACAGGGUGAUGAAAUUGAUACUGGCAAUGAAAAAACAAAAUAAACUCCACAUCAACUUUUCAAAAUAACAACUCAAGAAUAAUGUGAAAAUAAAUAUUUAGAAGUCACUUUGCA
rnacentral:lncRNA from 1 species